AAAUGGUACCCUAUUCCCUAUGUGGUGCACUACCCUAUAGGCCCUAGUCAAAAGUAGUGCACUACAUAGGGAAUAGGGUGCCGUUUGAGACGCAGCCUUAGAAAACACUGAAUGUCUCAUAAUGAAGGUACUGUACUGUCUCAUAAUGAAGGUACUGUCUCAUAAUGAAGGUACUGUCUCAUAAUGAAGGUACUGUACUGUCUCAUAAUGAAGGUACUGUCUCAUAAUGAAGGUACUGUACUGUCUCAUAAUGAAGGUACUGUACUGUCUCAUAAUGAAGGUACUGUCUCAUAAUGAAGGUACUGUCUCAUAAUGAAGGUACUGUACUGUCUCAUAAUGAAGGUACUGUCUCAUAAUGAAGGUACUGUACUGUCUCAUAAUGAAGGUACUGUCUCAUAAUGAAGGUACUGUCUCAUAAUGAAGGUACUGUACUGUCUCAUAAUGAAGGUACUGUCUCAUAAUGAAGGUACUGUCUCAUAAUGAAGGUACUGUACUGUCUCAUAAUGAAGGUACUGUCUCAUAAUGAAGGUACUGUCUCAUAAUGAAGGUACUGUACUGUCUCAUAAUGAAGGUACUGUUUCAUAAUGAAGGUACUGUCUCAUAAUGAAGGUACUGUCUCAUAAUGAAGGUACUGUCUCAUAAUGAAGGUACUGUCUCAUAAUGAAGGUACUGUCUCAUAAUGAAGGUACUGUACUGUCUCAUAAUGAAGGUACUGUCUCAUAAUGAAGGUACUGUCUCAUAAUGAAGGUACUGUACUGUCUCAUAAUGAAGGUACUGUCUCAUAAUGAAGGUACUGUACUGUCUCAUAAUGAAGGUACUGUACUGUCUCAUAAUGAAGGUACUGUCUCAUAAUGAAGGUACUGUCUCAUAAUGAAGGUACUGUACUGUCUCAUAAUGAAGGUACUGUACUGUCUCAUAAUGAAGGUACUGUACUGUCUCAUAAUGAAGGUACUGUCUCAUAAUGAAGGUACUGUCUCAUAAUGAAGGUACUGUCUCAUAAUGAAGGUACUGUCUCAUAAUGAAGGUACUGUCUCAUAAUGAAGGUACUGUACUGUCUCAUAAUGAAGGUACUGUCUCAUAAUGAAGGUACUGUCUCAUAAUGAAGGUACUGUCUCAUAAUGAAGG